rnacentral:tRNA from 1 species
AUUUCUAUAGUUUAAUGUAAAAUAUUAAAUUGCAAAUUUAAAGAUAAUGUUAUUUAGAAAUU